rnacentral:misc_RNA from 1 species
UUUAUUGUGAAUUAGAUUUCAGUGUCAGUUCUGUUGCCUAUUGGUUAUCUACUGUCACUGUCGUCAAACUUUCUUUUUGUUUGAUUCUGACUUGCCUGCAUUCGUGUGGCCAAGCUUGGUUUCAUUCAGUGACCUAUGAUUCAUUUCAUUUCAUUAUGUCAAGUUUCAUUUGUCACACCCCCCAUCUUUUACGAUUGGCAACUGGAAAGAACCAAAUGACCUAAAGCUAAAAUGCAGUGGUCUGGUGUUGAGCCAAGUGCCAACACUACCCUGUACAUUAUACCUAAUGACUUACAACUUUCAGCGAUGGAUGUCUAGGUUCCCACAACGAUGAAGAACGCAGCGAAAUGCGAUACGUAAUGCGAAUUGCAAGACCUCGUGAAUCAUUAAGAUUUUGAACGCACAUUGCGCUUUCGGGAUUUUCCCGGUAGCAUGCUUGUCUGAGUGUCUGUGGAUCCCACUCAGCGUUGGUAUAUGUAUGUAUACCAACUGCUGGUUGUUUUGGCUUUGACUGCUCUAGUAGCUGUCUCUGCCUAAGUUCUACAAACAUUGUACGUGCAUAGAUUCUGAAAUGUUUGACCCUGUCUUGUGAAAGACGGCGUUGAUGUUCUUGUCUAUCUCUGGUAGCUUGUAUUUAUUUACAUUUUGUCUGGAGUUUAUUUAAGGAUGUUAACACUAGCUGUUUUGACUCAAUUCGGUCGACCUUUCUAGAUCUGGCUUGUAGUUGUAAUUAACUUACACUGCUAGCUAUCCAAUCCGGAUCUCAGAUCAAGCAAGAGGCCCCAAAC